rnacentral:rRNA from 1 species
AACGAACGCUGGCGGCAUGCCUAACACAUGCAAGUCGAACGAGACCUUCGGGUUUAGUGGCGCACGGGUGCGUAACGCGUGGGAACCUGCCCUUAGGUUCGGAAUAACUCCCCGAAAGGGGUGCUAAUACCGGAUCAUGUCUUCGGACCAAAGAUUUAUCGCCUUUGGAUGGGCCCGCGUUGGAUUAGCUAGUUGGUAGGGUAAAAGCCUACCAAGGCGACGAUCCAUAGCUGGUCUGAGAGGAUGAUCAGCCACACUGGGACUGAGACACGGCCCAGACUCCUACGGGAGGGAGGAGUGGGGAAUAUUGGAAAAUGGGCGAAAGCCUGAAGCAGCAAGGCCGGGUGAGUGAUGAAGGCCUGAGGGUUGUAAAGCUCUUUUACCCGGGAUGAUAAUGACAGUACCGGGAGAAUAAGCACCGGCUAACUCCGUG